rnacentral:misc_RNA from 1 species
GAUGAAGAACGUAGCGAAAUGCGAUAAGUAAUGUGAAUUGUAGAAUUCAGUGAAUCAUCGAAUCUUUGAACGCACAUUGCGCCCUCUGGUAUUCCGGGGGGCAUGCCUGUUCGAGCGUCAUUAUAACCACUCAAGCUCUCGCUUGGUAUUGGAGUUCGCGAUCUCGCGGCUCCUAAAAUCAGUGGCGGUGCCUGUCGGCUCUACGCGUAGUAAUACUCCUCGCGAUUGAGUCCGGUAGGUUUACUUGCCAGCAACCCCCAAUUUUUACAGGUUGACCUCGGAUCAGGUAGGGAUACCCGCUGAACUUAAGCAUAUCAAUAAGCGGAGGA